GUUAGCGGCGGACGGGUGAGUAACACGUGGGUAACCUGCCUGUAAGACUGGGAUAACUCCGGGAAACCGGAGCUAAUACCGGAUAGUUCCUUGAACCGCAUGGUUCAAGGAUGAAAGACGGUUUCGGCUGUCACUUACAGAUGGACCCGCGGCGCAUUAGCUAGUUGGUGAGGUAACGGCUCACCAAGGCGACGAUGCGUAGCCGACCUGAGAGGGUGAUCGGCCACACUGGGACUGAGACACGGCCCAGACUCCUACGGGAGGCAGCAGUAGGGAAUCUUCCGCAAUGGACGAAAGUCUGACGGAGCAACGCCGCGUGAGUGAUGAAGGUUUUCGGAUCGUAAAGCUCUGUUGUUAGGGAAGAACAAGUGCAAGAGUAACUGCUUGCACCUUGACGGUACCUAACCAGAAAGCCACGGCUAACUACGUGCCAGCAGCCGCGGUAAUACGUAGGUGGCAAGCGUUGUCCGGAAUUAUUGGGCGUAAAGGGCUCGCAGGCGGUUUCUUAAGUCUGAUGUGAAAGCCCCCGGCUCAACCGGGGAGGGUCAUUGGAAACUGGGAAACUUGAGUGCAGAAGAGGAGAGUGGAAUUCCACGUGUAGCGGUGAAAUGCGUAGAGAUGUGGAGGAACACCAGUGGCGAAGGCGACUCUCUGGUCUGUAACUGACGCUGAGGAGCGAAAGCGUGGGGA
rnacentral:rRNA from 1 species